AUGGAGAUGUGCAUGGACGACCAGUGGAAGCUCUCCAAGAAGGGCAGCCGGAGGUCGGCGGCGGUGGCGCCGGCGGUGGCCACCGGCAGUCCAGUGGGCGUCAAGGGCCGGACGUCGAGGGGCUCCGGCCGGUCCGUGCCGGGGCGGCUGGCGAGCCUGGCCAAGCAGCAGAGGGCCAGGUUCUACAUCAUGCGCCGGUGUGUCACCAUGCUCGUGUGCUGGCGGGACUAG
rnacentral:rRNA from 1 species